CUUCUGUCAGUGAGCAGAAUGCAUAUAGAGCAGGUCUUCAGCCCGUCAGCAAGUGGCAAGCCUAUGGACUCAAAGGCUAUCCUGGGUUUAUUUUUAUCCCAAACCCCUUCCUCCCAGGUUACCAGUGGCACUGGGUGAAACAGUGCCUUAAGUUAUAUUCCCAGAAACCUAAUGUAUGUAACCUGGACAAACACAUGUCUAAAGAAGAGACCCAAGAUCUGUGGGAACAGAGCAAAGAGUUCCUGAGGUUAUGGUAUCAACAGGAGCAGUGAGGAAAAUCCUGUCCAUGAGCUUUUAGUAGUGUCUUCUUCGCAACUGAGAGCAGGGGAAAGGAAGAUCGUGGUUAAGUAAAAUUAGUCCAAGAGAACCUACUGCUAUUAAACCAGCCUGUGUUUUCAAGUAAUUUUUUUUCCUUCUGAUAUAUGACUCUGCAGAAAUCCCAGCUGUCUUUUAAGAUAGCUCAGAUGAAUCUCUGUAAUAAAUCAUCCUGUAAACAA
rnacentral:lncRNA from 1 species